CGGUCUGACCCUCAGGGUACAGUAUCUCACAAAUACAAUCUCAUGAGUGAGGAGCUCAGUUUUGUGUUGAUACUGCACUGAAAAAUAUUCCAAAGCAACAUUGCAGAAGGCGCAUGUGUUUUAAGGCAGACUUAGUGGCAGUAGCGACCUAUCUAACAGUCAAACCAAAAUCAAUGUCAGCAUUGCCUUAGAACCAGACAAGAGUGGAACAACUUUUUUUUUUUUUUUUUAAUUAAAUGAUUGACUUGUCCUUUUGAAGUUAUGGGAGAUAGCUAUUUUUGUAAAGAUUGUAUCAACAUUUGUGGCUAUAUUUGAGACAAGGAUCACUACUUGAAAAGAGAAUGGGAUCUGCAGGAAGAACAUUCCUAACAAGGUUUCCCAAUGCUGCAAGUAUCCCAUGACAAAGUGGAUCGGUAAAGACACUUACAGAUGUCCAAGACAUACUCACCUGCUGCCUUUGCUUCUUGAAUGAAAUCUUUACUCCUUUGUCACCAGCUAUUUCUGUGCUCUACAGGCUCCACUUUAAAGUACAGAAGGUUUUCCAAGAGGUGUUGUACCUUCACCAACGUCCAGCUCUCCAACUGAGACCGUCUGAAUGUGUGUUUUGGUUUUUUUUUUAACCAAAAUCUGAGUGUAGACUCACUAUUGCCUGCUUUGUAUUUUCAUCAGUUCUUGCACAUUUUUGAGCAGCUUUUCUGAAAGCUGCAUUUCUGAAUGCUUGCUUUGCUUGCUAUAUGAUAUGCUAGGCCUUGUGCUCAAGCUAGGCUAAGCUGAUUUUUUUCUUUGAUCAAGCACCUGAUAAUGUCCAGUCAGUGAAUGAGACAGCAGCUUUGCAGUGAGCAUGCCUUAGCCCUCAAACCAAGAGAAAGUGACAAUUUAAUUUCAUUUCUAAACACAGAACAAGGCAAAGUGACUUACACAGGAACUGAGAUGGUUUUGUGCUAAAUUUGAUGUUUCCAUUGGAAAAAUGAACAAGUAAGGCUUUGAACAAAGGCUAGACCGUUGUAUGAUAAUAUACCUAGAAAGUUUGUCAGGCAAUAGCUGCAUAAUGCUAUGCUUCAGAAAAUCAAUACCUAUACUUUAUACAGUUCUAGAAGUAUCCUCUUUACUUCUACAGUGAUAACAUAAUUUUGUCUGGAAAAUAAACCUGAUACCUAGCAUUAAACUUUAAUGGACAAGAAAAUCCAGAUUUUCCCCCCUGCUUUGUCCUUUGCUGUUUUUCAAGUAGUUAAAAGGCAUCAUAGCUUAAAAAUCAUCCAUGUAUUUUUAUCUGACAGAGAAGGUAAAUUAUUUCAUCUGAGAGCUAAAUCUGAAAACUGAAAACUGUAGAGAGUUUAUUUAGGAUAGAACAAAACAGAAGGGGUACAGAUAAAACGGCUUGGGUGAAACCUUAGUCCCAACGAAUCCUGUGGCACAAUCCCCAUUGAUUUCAUAGAGCCAAGACCUUACCCAGCAGUCACAUAACAAAGCCAGCUGACACCGCACAACUUUUAGAGGAGAACAAAAGAUUAAAAACUCAAUAUUCAGGAUACAGUCAAGUUUACAUAGAAAGGAUUCACCUGAACUCUGAGCUGACAUCCAACACCUGGUUUAUUCAGCAGAGGAAAAUGAUAGAUGUAACAGAAUUUGAGAGUGGUGUGAAGAAUAGUCAAAAUGUAGCCUCCUUUUAAAUCAAAAUGCCAGUCUUUCUCUUUAAUUUGAUGCAUUAAAAACCCCUCUAUAAUCUUCAUGGCUAUAAGAGUUCAAGAAUGACCUUCUAGUCUAGUCAGUUGUAAAGUAAUCUUCUAAAAUACUUACCAUGCCAUAAGGGUUGCAACAGUGGGAAUGAGAGGGAACCGAGGGGAAAGAAUAGGG